UUUUUUUGUUUUAUAUUUUAAAAACAUUCUUUAACUAGUGUUUAAAGAUGAGCCGUGGAAGAGAAGCGAGUUCUCUUCCACCAAAUAGUGCACAGAGUUAGAAAUGAAGGCUGAGUCCUCGUUAAAGAGACACUCUAAUUCAUUAAUGAUCCUUCCGCAGGUUCACCUACGGAAA
rnacentral:misc_RNA from 1 species